rnacentral:rRNA from 1 species
AGAGUUUGAUCCUGGCUCAGAGUGAACGCUGGCGGCGUGCUUAACACAUGCAAGUCGAACGAUGAAGCUCUAGCUUGCUAGAGUGGAUUAGUGGCGCACGGGUGAGGAAUAUAUAGCUAAUGUGCCCCUUAGAGGGGGAUAACAGUUGGAAACGACUGCUAAUACCCCAUACUCCUUCUUGUCAUAAGAGAAGUUGGGAAAGUUUUUUCGCUAAGGGAUCGGGCUAUACGGUAUCAGCUUGUUGGUGAGGUAAUGGCUCACCAAGGCUAUGACGCCUAACUGGUCUGAGAGGAUGAUCAGUCACACUGGAACUGAGACACGGUCCAGACUCCUACGGGAGGCAGCAGUGGGGAAUAUUGCACAAUGGGGGAAACCCUGAUGCAGCAACGCCGCGUGGAGGAUGACACAUUUCGGUGCGUAAACUCCUUUUAUAUGGGAAGAUAAUGACGGUACCAUAUGAAUAAGCACCGGCUAACUCCGUGCCAGCAGCCGCGGUAAUACGGAGGGUGCAAGCGUUACUCGGAAUCACUGGGCGUAAAGCGCGCGCAGGCGGCCCCUUAAGUUGGAUGUGAAAUCCUAUGGCUCAACCAUAGAACUGCAUCCAAAACUGAGGGGCUAGAGUCUGGGAGGGGAAGAUGGAAUUAGUGGUGUAGGGGUAAAAUCCGUAGAGAUCACUAGGAAUACCAAAAGCGAAGGCGAUCUUCUGGAAUAGUACUGACGCUGAGGCGCGAAAGCGUGGGGAGCAAACAGGAUUAGAUACCCUGGUAGUCCACGCCCUAAACUAUGAAUGUUAGUCGUCGGGAAGCUUGUCUUCUCGGUGAUGCAGCUAACGCAUUAAACACUCCGCCUGGGGAGUACGGUCGCAAGAUUAAAACUCAAAGGAAUAGACGGGGACCCGCACAAGUGGUGGAGCAUGUGGUUUAAUUCGAAGAUACGCGAAGAACCUUACCUGGCCUUGACAUUGAUAGAAUCUGCUAGAGAUAGUGGAGUGCCCUUCGGGAGCUUGAAAACAGGUGCUGCACGGCCGUCGUCAGCUCGUGUCGUGAGAUGUUGGGUUAAGUCCCGCAACGAGCGCAACCCUCGUCACUAGUUACUAACGGUUCGGCCGAGGACUCUAGUGAGACUGCCUUCGUAAGGAGGAGGAAGGUGAGGACGACGUCAAGUCAUCAUGGCCCUUACGGCCAGGGCGACACACGUGCUACAAUGGGAUGUACAAUGAGACGCAAUACCGCGAGGUGGAGCAAAUCUAUAAAGCAUCUCUCAGUUCGGAUUGUAGUCUGCAACUCGACUACAUGAAGCUGGAAUCACUAGUAAUCGUAGAUCAGCCAUGCUACGGUGAAUACGUUCCCGGGUCUCGUACUCACCGCCCGUCACACCAUGGGAGUUGAUUUCACCCGAAGCGGGGAAGCUAAAUUGGCUACCCGCCACGGUGGGAUCAGCGACUGGGGUGAAGUCGUAACAAGGUAACC